rnacentral:rRNA from 1 species
ACGGACCUCUAGUGCACCAGUUGUCCCGUCAGGGGCACAGCUGGGUAGCUACGUCCGGCACGGAUAAACGCUGAAAGCAUCUAAGCGUGAAGCCAGCCUCGAGAUGAAGUCUCCCGCAGGGUAACCUGCCUGAAGACCCCUUGCAGACGACAAGGUUGAUAGGCCCGAUGUGCAAGAGCAGUAAUGCUCUCAGCUUACGGGUACUAAUCGGUCGUGAGGCUUGACCAUGA